AUACAUAGGGGGCAAGCGUUAUCCGGAAUUAUUGGGCGUAAAGGGUGCGUAGGCGGCCAUUUAAGUUUGAGGUGUAAGUUCAAGGCUCAACCUUGUGAUGCUUCAAAAACUGGAUGGCUUGAGAGAGGUAGAGGCAAGUGGAAUUCCAUGUGUAGCGGUAAAAUGCGUAAAUAUAUGGAGGAACACCAGUGGCGAAGGCGGCUUGCUGGGCCUCGUCUGACGCUGAGGCACGAAAGCGUGGGGAGCAAACAGGAUUAGAUACCCUGGUAGUCCACGCCGUAAACGAUGAGUACUAAGUGUCGGGAUAACCCGGUGCUGCAGUUAACGCAUUAAGUACUCCGCCUGAGUAGUACGUGCGCAAGCAUAAA
rnacentral:rRNA from 1 species